rnacentral:rRNA from 1 species
GGAAACGGGUUAAUAUUCCCGUACUUGGUGUUACUGCGAAGGGGGGACGGAGAAGGCUAUGUUGGCCGGGCGACGGUUGUCCCGGUUUAAGCGUGUAGGUGUGUGUUCCAGGUAAAUCCGGUUCACUUUAACACUGAGGCGUGAUGACGAGGCACUACGGUGCUGAAGCAACAAAUGCCCUGCUUCCAGGAAAAGCCUCUAAGCAUCAGGUAACAUCAAAUCGUACCCCAAACCGACACAGGUGGUCAGGUAGAGAAUACCAAGGCGCUUGAGAGAACUCGGGUGAAGGAACUAGGCAAAAUGGUGCCGUAACUUCGGGAGAAGGCACGCUGACACGUAGGUGAAGUGAUUUACUCAUGGAGCUGAAGUCAGUCGAAGAUACCAGCUGGCUGCAACUGUUUAUUAAAAACACAGCACUGUGCAAACACGAAAGUGGACGUAUACGGUGUGACGCCUGCCCGGUGCCGGAAGGUUAAUUGAUGGGGUCAGCGUAAGCGAAGCUCCUGAUCGAAGCCCCGGUAAACGGCGGCCGUAACUAUAACGGUCCUAAGGUAGCGAAAUUCCUUGUCGGGUAAGUUCCGACCUGCACGAAUGGCGUAAUGAUGGCCAGGCUGUCUCCACCCGAGACUCAGUGAAAUUGAACUCGCUGUGAAGAUGCAGUGUACCCGCGGCAAGACGGAAAGACCCCGUGAACCUUUACUAUAGCUUGACACUGAACAUUGAGCCUUGAUGUGUAGGAUAGGUGGGAGGCUUUGAAGUGUGGACGCCAGUCUGCAUGGAGCCGACCUUGAAAUACCACCCUUUAAUGUUUGAUGUUCUAACGUGGACCCGUAAUCCGGGUUGCGGACAGUGUCUGGUGGGUAGUUUGACUGGGGCGGUCUCCUCCUAAAGAGUAACGGAGGAGCACGAAGGUUGGCUAAUCCUGGUCGGACAUCAGGAGGUUAGUGCAAUGGCAUAAGCCAGCUUGACUGCGAGCGUGACGGCGCGAGCAGGUGCGAAAGCAGGUCAUAGUGAUCCGGUGGUUCUGAAUGGAAGGGCCAUCGCUCAACGGAUAAAAGGUACUCCGGGGAUAACAGGCUGAUACCGCCCAAGAGUUCAUAUCGACGGCGGUGUUUGGCACCUCGAUGUCGGCUCAUCACAUCCUGGGGCUGAAGUAGGUCCCAAGGGUAUGGCUGUUCGCCAUUUAAAGUGGUACGCGAGCUGGGUUUAGAACGUCGUGAGACAGUUCGGUCCCUAUCUGCCGUGGGCGCUGGAGAACUGAGGGGGGCUGCUCCUAGUACGAGAGGACCGGAGUGGACGCAUCACUGGUGUUCGGGUUGUCAUGCCAAUGGCACUGCCCGGUAGCUAAAUGCGGAAGAGAUAAGUGCUGAAAGCAUCUAAGCACGAAACUUGCCCCGAGAUGAGUUCUCCCUGAGACUUAGAGUCUCCUGAAGGAACGUUGAAGACGACGACGUUGAUAGGCCGGGUGUGUAAGCGCAGCGAUGCGUUGAGCUAACCGGUACUAAUGAACCGUGAGGCUUAACCUU